AAACUGUUUGACAUUUAGACACUUCUGAUAUUCAGUUGUUGGAGAAUACGAAACUAUCGAUUGUGGCUGUGGGCAUCAUUCAACGUUGAUACACCUACUGCACUCUGGGAUCAACGAUGCGGAUGGGAAGUUUACCGGGUGCACCUUCCAACGCUUUGAGAAAUCGCGUCGUGGCCUGCUGCCUCGGAUUUCACCACGGAAAUGCAAACCUACGCUUAUGACUAUCCACCACUCUGCACGAGUUCGUGAAUUCCGUUGAAUCGGAAGACUCAUUGUUGGAUAUGGAAUAUCGAUCUGAUACUGAGGACGUGAGAUCCUGAGAAAGAAAGAGUCAUGAUGUGUUUAACAUUAUUCAGAAUAAUUGACUGUAUUAUCCUGAAAAUUAUAAAAAAGAAAAGAUAAAGGAAUGAAAUUUAAAUGGUUAAAAAAAACA